UACGGAGGGAGCUAGCGUUGUUCGGAAUUACUGGGCGUAAAGCGCGCGUAGGCGGUUUUUUAAGUCAGAGGUGAGAGCCCAGUGCUCAACACUGGAACUGCCUUUGAAACUGGAAAGCUAGAAUCUUGGAGAGGUCAGUGGAAUUCCGAGUGUAGAGGUGAAAUUCGUAGAUAUUCGGAGGAACACAGUGGCGAAGGCGACUGACUGGACAAGUAUUGACGCUGAGGUGCGAAAGCGUGGGGAGCAAACAGG
rnacentral:rRNA from 1 species